CCUACGGGUGACAGCAGUGGGGAAUAUUGCACAAUGGGGGAAACCCUGAUGCAGCGACGCCGCGUGAGGGAUGAAGUAUUUCGGUAUGUAAAGCUCUAUCAGCAGGGAAGAAAAUGACGGUACCUGACUAAGAAGCCCCGGCUAACGACGUGCCAGCAGCCGCGGUAAUACGUAGGGGGCAAGCGUUAUCCGGAUUUACUGGGUGUAAAGGGAGCGUAGACGGUCUGGCAAGUCAGAUGUGAAAUCCCGGGGCUCAACCCCGGAACUGCAUCUGAAACUGUUAGGCUAGAGUGUAGGAGAGGCAGGCGGAAUGCCUGGUGUAGCGGUGAAAUGCGUAGAUAUUAGGAGGAACACCGGUGGCGAAGGCAGCCUACUGGACUAUAUCUGACGUUGAGGCUCGAAAGCGUGGGUAGCAAACAGGAUUAGAUACCCCAGUAGUC
rnacentral:rRNA from 1 species